GUUAUCUUUAAUAAUUAAGCUGAAUCGAGUUAAAAAGCUUUAUAUUGACAAUGUGUUCAACAAUUUACUCUUAAAUAUUCCUAAAAUACUGUUAUCAAUUAUAUUAUCAACUUUUGCUUUCAACAAGAAUAUUAUUUGUUUGAACGUUUGAUAUGCGUUAGACUAGCCAAUAUCAGAUAUACCCUUUAUGAUAGUUAACAGUUUACAAUUUAUACUGCAUGAGAAGGC